CCAGCGUUUUCAUAAGCAUGGCCUCAGAAAUGGUGCAGUCUCAGAGGCCACGUCGCCAACACAACCAUAAAGCUUGCACAGUGGAAUCGUAGCCCGAGCGCAUAGAACUUAUUUGCGAAGCAGUUUA
rnacentral:lncRNA from 1 species